GUGUAUUGCAUAGUUUUAGAGAUUGGAUUUCACUCAAAACGUAUUAAUGAUUCCUCCUACAAUAUUAUGAUGUUCCCCAAGUUUUGGACUCAAUCCGAUAUCGAUUGGUCCAUGAAAUUGGGCAAUUCAGGUUCGUACGAAGUUCGUUAUGAAAUGAAAUGGUUGUUGUAUUGCGUAGUUUUAGAGAUUGGAUUGCCCUUAAAACGCACCAAAUGAC
rnacentral:lncRNA from 1 species